rnacentral:rRNA from 1 species
UACGAAGGGGGCAAGCGUUGUUCGGAAUUAUUGGGCGUAAAGGGUGCGUAGGCGGUUUGGUAAGUCUUAUGUGAAAUCUACAGGCUCAACUUGUAGUCUGCAUGAGAAACUGCCGGGCUUGAGUAUGGGAGAGGUGAGUGGAAUUCCUGGUGUAGCGGUGAAAUGCGUAGAUAUCAGGAGGAACACCAGUGGCGAAGGCGACUUACUGGACACAUAUUGACGCUGAGGUGCGAAAGCGUGGGGAGCAAACAGG